UGUGAGCUUUAUCAGAUGGGGGUGGUUCGGUCAAAGUUUGCGAUAACCUUGUGAAAGCAGCGUUUUCUUUCUUCCAAUUUCUUGCCUUGGGAUCUGAGUGACUGCAGACACAGCAGCGAAGAGGGGGACCAAUGCACUACAGGCAGGAAGUAUGGAGUCAAUGAUGCGGCAAAAGAGGUAUCAUUUUCCCCUGUGUAAGAUAAGAUAGCUGCUGUGUCCAAAGUGCAUAUAGCAUAGAGUGGGGCUUCAACCCAAGGCUUGCCACGUGCACAAGCUAAGCAGUGAGGAGGAAGAAAAAGCUAUGUUCAUUUGUACACAGAUUCUUGUUUCUGAAAAUGCCGGUAUGCGCAAUGUCCAAACACAGGACUCAGACACAAUGCGGACAAUGGAAGCUCUGAACCCACAAGACACAGCACUUCCUUCUGGCUGAUGUGCUCAAGGACUGUGUCACAGUACUAGAAAGCUGACAAACACGCACAUCAAUAAACAGAAGAAGAACAAGCCUGUGGAGGAAGAUGGAUGAGGAAGUAAAAGGACUUGCCACUAAAGGCAUGUCUAAUACAGAUCCAGUUCCUGAAGAGUGAAAGUGUGGGUUACACCCAAUUGAAUACCCUGGUUAACUGAACCAGCACUGGCCCCAAAAUUGGAAGCAAUGUGGAAUGCCUAAUCACAGAAGAAAGUGGUAAACAAUCCAAAAUGAUUCACAGAAAAUACAGCUGUUUCUGCUUACUCUUGCUUUAUUAUGUCACAAUGGUAUGUAUUUAUAAUUUAAUCUAUAUGUUAUAAAAUAGCAAGGCAGAAGCAAGGGAACACAAUUAUAGCUACAUAUAUUAGAUCUGGAAACAGUUUUGAAUCUACUUGCCUGCACAUGCGUGCGUCCAUGUGAGUGUGUGAGUGUGGUGUGUGUGUGUGUGUGGUGUGUGUGUGUGUCUAUGUGUAUAUGUAUGUGUUUGUGUAGGCCAAUGUGGAAGCCAUAAGACAACCUUUGGGGUCAUUUUUUAUGUGCCACCAAAUUUUUAAUUUGACAUUUUAUUCUCUAUUAUUUACUUGGAGGGUAGAGGUAGAAACAUACAUACUUCAUAUAGAAUAUGCAUGUAUACUAGAAAACAAUUUAUGGGAUUUGUUUUUCCACGUGUGUCUUAGUUGGAGUUUCUAUGGUUGUGAUAAAACAUGACUGUGGUGGUUUGAAUAAGCUUAGCCCAGGCAAAGUGGCACUAUUAGUGGCCUUGUUGUGCAGCACUAUGGGGGUGGGCUUUGAAGCUCUGCCCAGAGAGGAAGAAACCUUCCUCCUGGCAGAAGCGAUGUCAUGCUUCCCCUACAAUGAUAAUGGAGUGAACCUCUGAACCUAUAAGUCAGACCCAAUUAAAUGUUGUCCUUUAUAAAAGUUUCCUAGGUCUUGGUGUCUGUUCACAGCAAUGAAAUCCUCACUAGGCCGGGUGGUGGUGGCUCACGCCUUUAAUCCCAGCACUUGGGAGGCAGAGGCAGAGGCAGGUGGA